rnacentral:rRNA from 1 species
AGUGAACGCUGGCGGUAGGCCUAACACAUGCAAGUCGAACGGCAGCACAGUAAGAGCUUGCUCUUACGGGUGGCGAGUGGCGGACGGGUGAGGAAUACAUCGGAAUCUACUUUUUCGUGGGGGAUAACGUAGGGAAACUUACGCUAAUACCGCAUACGACCUACGGGUGAAAGCAGGGGAUCUUCGGACCUUGCGCGAUUGAAUGAGCCGAUGUCGGAUUAGCUAGUUGGCGGGGUAAAGGCCCACCAAGGCGACGAUCCGUAGCUGGUCUGAGAGGAUGGUCAGCCACACUGGAACUGAGACACGGUCCAGACUCCUACGGGAGGCAGCAGUGGGGAAUAUUGGACAAGGGGCGCAAGCCUGAUCCAGCCAUACCGCGUGGGUGAAGAAGGCCUUCGGGUUGGAAAGCCCUUUUGUUGGGAAAGAAAAGCAGCAGGUUAAUACCCCGCUGUUCUGACGGUACCCAAAGAAUAAGCACCGGCUAACUUCGUG